rnacentral:rRNA from 1 species
UACGUAGGGUGCAAGCGUUGUCCGGAAUUAUUGGGCGUAAAGAGCUCGUAGGCGGUCUGUCGCGUCGGCUGUGAAAACUCGGGGCUCAACUCCGAGCCUGCAGUCGAUACGGGCAGACUAGAGUUCGGUAGGGGAGACUGGAAUUCCUGGUGUAGCGGUGAAAUGCGCAGAUAUCAGGAGGAACACCGGUGGCGAAGGCGGGUCUCUGGGCCGAUACUGACGCUGAGGUGCGAAAGCGUGGGGAGCGAACAGG